AGAGAGAGAGAGAGAGGGACUAACGACUAUUGUGUAUCCGGGCGGCGCAGAAUCGACAGUCGAUGUUGGGCGCGUUACGCGGGAUCGCAUUAGCUCGAUUAGGAAAAUUUCCACGAGCGGCGAAGAGGCGCGAGCCGAAGCGAAAAUCGUUUCGAUGAUUUAUCUUACGACCGUUUCGCCCGUUCGAUCGAAGAAAUUAGCCCGACGGCCGCGCUCAAACUACGAUUAUAACAGCCAAAGUGUACACCUGCUAUACUCGCGUCGCUUCGUUUAUUAACCAACCAUUCAAACGCCUCUUCCUCGAACCCUAAUAGGUCCAACGGAGAUUGGAUUUGAUUCACGAUCUAAUCAUCGAGAGAAUAAGUCGAGUAAAUCGAUCCUCCGCGUGACGGGGACACGCGAUAUCGUAAGACUAUACAUUUUCGGCGCAACGCAAUACCUUUGAGUAUAACGCGGACACGAUUCUAUAAUCUUUGUUAACGAUACCUUGCUACUUCCUUCCUUCCUUCCUUCCUUCUUUCCUUGUUUCCCUGUUUUUCUCUUUAUUAAGAAGUUGGAUUUAAAAAAAAAAAAGAAAAGAAAAAAAUAUGAAUAUCGAUGCAUCUUCCUUUUCGACCUAUUCGUACUUACGGCGGCGAUUCGGUGACGCAAAUGCGAAAAUCUUGGUUAUCUUACGACUGUCACGGAUCGUAAUGAUUUGUUGUUUGAAGAGAGGUUGAAAAUCGAGAAGAAAAAAAUUAAUCGUUUUGGAGAAUUUCGAGAUAAUAAAAGAUCGCUGAUAUUCGUGCGGAGAAGGUAUACGGUGUACGGUACGCGGUGAGAGAUAUACGGUACGCGACUAAAUCGGUCGAGAUGAUACGCGGUCGCUUUAUGAGCACGCGCGAUCGGCUAUGCGCGAGAAAUACGUCAAGAAUGCGCGAAGAACGCAAGAGGCGAGCCUCCAGCAUCGAGAGUCCCGAUUGGUCCCGAUUGGUCCCGAUUAGUCCCGAUUAGUCCCGAACGGCCCGCAUUGUUGCACGCGUCAUAACGCACUGCUGCUACAAGACACAUACCGUGUUACAGAUUCGAACUUACUCUCAUUCCCCGCCUCCAGUUGUGCUUGUCAACUCCUCCUAACCACGAUAAGCCGCGAAUUAUCCCAUUCUUCGCAACUCGUUCCUACACGAUUCACACACGGUUAUAUUCGAUCGGUCAAGGACACGAUAAUACGAUUUUUAUCCAAUCUUAUGCUUUAGAACGAAAAAACUCGACUCAACGCAUCAAUCGUAAUUGCGAUUCCAUAAAAAUAUAAUAUAUACGCGAACAAUAUAUUUCUCUUUGAGAACAAAUAAGGAAAAGAAAAAGAAAAAGAAAAAAACAAGACAAGAGUUUCUAUCUUCGUUUCGGUUGAUAUUUUAAGAUCAAACAUCACGAGUAAAUUUGAUAGAGGUGACAAAUUGCACAUGUCUCGUUAUCCAUAGCAAAGAGAGUAUCGUGAUAUGCAUGAUACCUUCGCGACGAAAAACCAUGCGUUGGGAUUGGUCGAAGAAAGAACGAGGAAGGGAAGGCAAAGGGAGUGUAAAGCCAAUUGCGCAUGGAAAUAGGUCGGAGCGGAGGGCUCGCGGUAUCGAGAGGGCACACGGUGACGAUGACGACAAUAAUGACAACCAGAAAGAAGCAAAAAUUUUGAUAUCGCGUUCCUUCUGACUCUCGUUCGACCGAAUUAUCAAACAGAAA